GGGAUGACACAGUAGGAUAAGCUAAGCACACUGUUGGGUAUGUGUGCCCAAGCAUUGAGGCAGUCAAAGUAGGCAAAUCCGCUUUGAUAAUGCUGGGAUGUGAUGGGGAGCGAAAGUUAGUAGCGAAGUAGCUGAUUUCACACUGUCAAGAAAAGUCUCUAUCGAGGUUAAAGGUACCCGUACCGCAAACCGACACAGGUGGGUGAGGAGAGUAUCCUAAGGCUAGCGAGAGAACUGUUGUUA
rnacentral:rRNA from 1 species